rnacentral:rRNA from 1 species
ACUGAACGCUGGCGGCAUGGCUAAAGCAUGCAAGUCGAACGAGCCCGCAAGGGCAAGUGGCGGACGGGUUAGUAAUGCGAUCGAACGUACCCAGAGGUGGGGGAUAGCGGUGGGAAACUGCCGGUAAUACCCCAUGUGCUCCUCGGAGGAAAGGUUUACCACCUUUGGAUCGGCGAUCGUCCUAUCAGGUAGUUGGCGGGGUAAAAGCCCACCAAGCCGAAGACGGGUAGCGGGUGUGAGAGCACGGCCCGCAACAUCGGAACUGAGAAACUGUCCGGACUCCUACGGGAGGCUGCAGCAACGAAUCUUCCGCAAUGGGCGCAAGCCUGACGGAGCAAUGCCGCGUGUGGGAUGAAGUGCCUCCGGCAUGUAAACCACUGUCAGAAAGCAGAAACACUGAUUGCUUUCAAAGGAAGUGGCGACUAACUCUGUG